rnacentral:rRNA from 1 species
UACAGAGGGUGCAAGCGUUGUUCGGAAUUAUUGGGCGUAAAGCGCGUGUAGGCGGCUUUGCAAGUCGGGUGUGAAAGCCCUCAGCUUAACUGAGGAAGUGCGCCCGAAACUGCAGAGCUUGAAUACCGGAGAGGAUGGCGGAAUUCCCCAAGUAGAGGUGAAAAUUCGUAGAUAUGGGGAGGAACACCGGUGGCGAAGGCGGCCAUCUGGACGGCUAUUGACGCUGAGACGCGAAAGCGUGGGGAGCAAACAGG